rnacentral:rRNA from 1 species
GACGAACGCUGGCGGCGUGCUUAACACAUGCAAGUCGAACGGAAAGGCCCUGCUUGCAGGGUGCUCGAGUGGCGAACGGGUGAGUAACACGUGGGUGAUCUGCCCCUUACUUUGGGAUAAGCCUGGGAAACUGGGUCUAAUACUGGAUAGGACCAUGCUGUAGGUGGUGUGGUGGAAAGAUUAGUUUCGGUAAGGGAUGAGCUCGCGGCCUAUCAGCUUGUUGGUGGGGUAAUGGCCUACCAAGGCGUCGACGGGUAGCCGGCCUGAGAGGGUGGACGGCCACAUUGGGACUGAGAUACGGCCCAGACUCCUACGGGAGGCAGCAGUGGGGAAUAUUGCACAAUGGGCGCAAGCCUGAUGCAGCGACGCCGCGUGGGGGAUGACGGCCUUCGGGUUGUAAACUCCUUUCAGCCAUGACGAAGCCCUUGUGGUGACGGUAGUGGUAGAAGAAGCACCGGCUAACUAAGUG